CGUGCUGCAGGCCAAGGCGCUCGUCUUCCUGCGCGGCCGUGAGGACGCCCGCCUCGCGCUGCUGGAGGCCGCUACCGAGGCCGAGAUCAUGGGCGACAGCAAGCUCGCGGAGUUCCUGCGAAUCUGUGAGACAGUUGUUGAAACAGGACAGUUUGAAAUGUCACAGAAGCAAGAACCACUUCAUACUCGUGUGCGGCAACUUGUGCACAAUGAAGAACAACGAAGACAGGUGGAUCUCCUUUUCAAUCAACUGCAAAAACUUCCAGGAUUCAGGCCCAUGUAAACUGUGGAAUUACAAUGCCUAUGAAAAGCCUAUAAGGAUAAUCUUGCCAUAUUGUGUCAACUACGGCCUUCAGUGUAUCCACCUGCUGGAAAACUGCUGAAAAUGGUUCCUGCAUGCUUAAGGAGGAAUACUGUUCUCUCUUUUGACUGCUGAUGUGCCUCCUCAUUACCUCCAACUGGAGCUGAUAGCCAAACUGCGUAGCACCCAUCUUAACGACCUUUUUGUCCAAUCAAGGAAUUUACAAGACUCAUAAAAUUUUACCCCAAGGGCAAUAACCUCAGCAGCACAGAAAACCCCUAAAGUUAUUAAAAUAUACGUGUUUUUAAUUGACAAAG